AUGUCUCGCACGGGGAGCCGCCUCGCGUCCUCCGUGGUGCGCCUCCCCGGCCGCUCCCGCGUCUCCGCUUCGCCCUCCCCUCGCCGCCGCUCCCUGUCCCCGUCGCCCUCCCCGCGCCGCCAGCGCCGCCGCGACCGGUCCCCCAUCCCCUCCCGCGACCGCCGCGGCGAGAGGUCCCCCGUCCCCUCUCGCGACCGCCGCCGCGACCGAUCCCCUAGCCCCUAUCGCGACCGGCGCCGCGACCGGUCCCCUAGCCCCUUCCGUGACCGCCGCCGCCAGUGGUCUCCCUACCACAAUGAGCGUGGCCGGGACAUGGACCGGGUUCGGGACGUGGAGCCGCCGGCGCGCCGUGGCGGCGGUGGAGGAGGCGAAUGGUCCGCCUCCGACGACGACGACGAGGAUCUCAAGGGCCUCACCUACUUUGAGUACCGCCGCGUCAAGCGCCAGAAGCUCCGCAAAAGCCUGAAGAAGUGCAUCUGGAAAGUCACGCCCAGCCCUCCUCGCCGUGACGACGAGGCCGACGAGUACCAGUACAGCGAGGAGGAGGAGGAGAAGAAGGAAUCGCCGAAGAAGGACUCAUCCGAGAAGAGCGAUGUGGAGGAGAACAAGGACUCGUCGGAAUCUGAGUCCGAUGAGUCUGGUAGCUUAUCUGAUUCCAGUGAAUCAGAUUAUUCUAGGAAGAAAAAGAAAGGGCGUAAGGACAGACGUUCUAGCAGCAAGCGUAGCCGACGUUCACAUCGUCGCCACAGGAAGUCUGAUGUGGAGAGUGAGAGUGAUAGCAAGGUUGAUGAGGAUUCAGAGGGUUCCUAUGACUCUGAAGAUUCUAGGGAUAAGAAGAGGAGCAAGAGAUCACGGAGGCACAAGAAGUCUAAGAGGAGGGGAAGGAGCUCUAGGAGGAAGAAGAGUAAGAGUCUGGAUGUACCAUCUGAUGUUAGCUCUGAGGAGGUGGAGGUUUUAGGCUCUAGCCCUAUCUCAACGGACAGCAAGAAAACGGGUAAGAGCUCAAGGAAGAAGAGUAGCAGUCAGUCUGAUUCUGAAGAUUCGAUCUCUUCUGAUGCCAUCAUUGAUGAAAAGGAAAUUGAAGAGACAGAUGAGCCAGAGAUUGACCCAGAGGCAAUUAAGUUCAAGGAAAUGCUUGAGGCCCAGAAGAAGGCUGCACUAGAGAAUGAGAUGCCGGUUGGACCAAUGCCACUCCCGCGUGCAGAUGGUCAUAUUAGCUAUGGUGGUGCACUGAGACCCGGUGAAGGUGAUGCCAUUGCACAAUAUGUACAGCAGGGGAAGCGUAUCCCACGGCGUGGUGAGGUUGGUCUGUCUGCAGAUGAGAUUCAGAAGUUCGAAGAUUUGGGGUAUGUGAUGAGUGGAAGCAGGCACCAGAGGAUGAAUGCUAUCCGUAUAAGGAAGGAAAACCAGGUUUAUAGUGCAGAGGAUAAGAGAGCGCUGGCCAUGUUUAACUACGAGGAGAAGUCAAAGAGAGAGCACAAAGUUAUGGCUGAUUUGCAGCGCUUGGUUUCAAGAACCAUUGGCCAAGAGACAGGACCUUCGCAUGAUCCAUUUGCUACUACAGAUGACUGA
rnacentral:rRNA from 1 species